GAUAUGAACAGGUGUUCUUCAACCAUGAACUUACGGAGUAUCUAUGCCGACGAUGAAGAGAUAAGAAACCUGAAAAGAAAAGUGGAAGAACUUGACGACAAAGAAGCUGUCAUAAAGGAGCAGAUGGAGAUAGAGUCUGCUGCUUCCUCAAGUCGGAGGAAGCCGAGGAUAUUGGUUGAGAGAUGGCUGAAAGAGACAGAAAGAGCAGGAAAUAAUUUUCAAAUAAUUGGCCAAGCCAAUGCAGAAACUUUGCCACCAAAGGAACGGGUGGAGACAUUGAUGAGAGAAGUGGAAGAACUCAUAGGAAAAUUGCUUCCACAAACACUACUCAUAGAGGAGAGAGAUGCCAAAGGAGUCAAACUUUUGGAACGAAAGUUAACAGGUGAAGUGAUUCAUAGGAACAUUGAGUUGAUUUGGGGCCGUCUGAAGAAGAAUCGUGCAUGCAAAUUGGGUAUUUAUGGAAUGGGUGGUGUUGGGAAGACAACUAUUAUGAUGCACAUACAUAAUAGACUUCUGGAAGAUGCAACCUGCGAUGGUGUGGUUUUAUCACCGUGUCCCAAAAUUUCAGCAUUUAUAAGUUGCAAGUGAUAUUGGGAGCAUUAAAAUGUGGCCUUAUGGNNNNNNNNNNNNNNNNNNNNNNNNNNNNNNNNNNNNNNNNNNNNNNNNNNNNNNNNNNNNNNNNNNNNNNNNNNNNNNNNNNNNNNNNNNNNNNNNNNNNNNNNNNNNAGGUGGGAGUCCAUGUUAGAGCUCAUGGAUUGAAGUUCGUCUUAACCACUCGAUCCUUUGAUGUGUGCCGCCAGAUGCAAUGUCAAGAAAAGAUAAAAAUCAUGCCUCUAUCUCAGGAAGAAGCUGAGAGUUUGUUUUUGGAGUAGCUUGGACCCGAAAUGCCACUUAAUUUGGAAAUUGAAGCAAUUGUGAGGUCCAUUGUUAAAGAAUGUGCAGGCUUGCCAAUUGGAGUAAUCACAAUGGCAAGAAGGAUGCGAGAAGUGACCAAUGUGUUUCAAUGGAGAGAUUUCUUGACGAAAUUGAAAGAAUCAAGUAUGGCGCAAACAGACAUGGAGAUGAGGUUGUUAAUGAAUCUGAAAGUGAGUUAUGAUCACCUUGGUAAUCCCAAUGUCCAACAGUGUUUCUUAUCUUGUGCACUUUAUCCAAAAGAUGAAUUGAUUGAUGAGUCCAAGUUGAUAGAAUUCUUUAUUGACCAAGGAUUGCUUGGUGGAUUGAAUAUAAGGAAGGAAAAAUAUGAUAGAGGCCUCACCAUACUGAAGACGCUAGUAAAUGUUUGCCUUUUGGAAAAUUAUCAGGGUAGGAUGAAGAUGCACGAUUUGGUUAGAGACAUGGCAUUGCACAUCAUGAGCGUGACUUCGAUUGUAAAAGUGGGAAAGGAGUUGAAGAGGAUUCCAUCUGAGGAAUAUUGGACGGAUGCUUUGGAGAAAGUUUCUCUAAUGAAAAAUGACAUUAGAGAAUUUUCGUCAAACAUGUCACCAAAUUGCCCUGUACUAUCAACUUUACUACUGAAUGGAUGCUCAUUGAGGUAUGUCCCUGAUUCUUUCUUCAAAAAUUUAUUGGGGCUAAAGGUUCUAAAUCUGAGUAAAAAUCACAUGACGGAACUUCCAAAUUCCAUCUCAGACUUGGUAAACUUGAGAGCACUAUUGCUCAGAGAGUGUUGGGAAUUGCGCCGUAUUCCUUAUCUAGGGAAGCUCACAUCUUUAAGAAAGUUGGACGCUAAUAAUUGUGGGAGUUUAGAAGCUCUUGAGGGCUUGGAAAAGUUGGUGAACUUGAGAUACCUUGACCUUACCAAAACAUGUAUUGAGCGAUUGCCCAAGGGAACACUAGACCGUUUACUAAGGGCGCGCAUGAAAAUCAUUCUGUUCCAGAAAUAGUUUCUGGAAUAGAAAUAAAUUUUUCUAUUUUUAUUUCUAAACGAGUUUCUGAGCAAAAAAAUCUGUUUGAUAACGGUACAAAAUUUCUGUUUUAGAAAUAGAAAUUCAUUUGAUAAUAGUAUAAAAUUUCUAUUUUUUAAAACAAAAUUUUCUUUUUUUGGAGCAAAUGAGAUGUCAAUUUUUACAAAUUUCAUAUGCUUAUGAACCAAUUGACCCAAAUACAAAGUAAGAGUUUUUUUUUUUUUUAGUAAAGUCUCCCUUUUUUGAAAAAAAAAAUACAAAGUAAGAGUUGUUAUAUCAAAUUUUCUAAAUUUUCACACAAUUCUUUAGCAUCCACCUAGAUAGGCAAUUACGGUCAAACAAAAUACUUAUCAAUAGUUUCCAUACAAUAGAAAAAAGAAAUCAAUAUGCAUUACUUUUGAGCAUGAUAGAAAGUUCUCAAAACUCUAGUAGAAUGAAGGUGGGCAGGCAACCAUAUUCUAAUCCCCUUCAUGCUAGUGUGUCAUGUCGAUCACCGCCACGGUUUACGAUAUUGAGCAAUCGUUUUAGAAAGAAACACAAAGAAGUGUAUUGGGUAAUUUGCAGCAAAUUUUACAAAAUCGGUGAAUUUUACGAAAUGUAAUAGAGCUUGUCAUAAAGGACCAUUACAAAUAAGGGAAAUCAUCAAGUAGAAUAUCACGUUACAAUAAUUGAGAUAAGAAUCAUCAAAUACAGUAUCAUAUUACAAAAGCAAAGAUUGGGAAUCCCCAAAUACAAAAUAAUAGAAAAUACAUUACAAAAGUUGAAAACACGAUCUCAUGGAAUCUCCGGUAUAUUAUGAUCUCUUACCAUUUUAUUGGCAAUACUUUUUCUAAACAUAUUCAUCUUAGUAGAAAAUUUUAUGGAGAAAUUAUUUCUGAUUUCUGUUCCAGAAAUAGAGAAGUAGAAAAUUUUUACUUCUGAUUUCUGAUUAAAAUCUAUUUCUGUAGCAGAAAUCUAUUCCAAAAAUGGAAAAACGAAAUAGGUUUAUCAAAUGGAUUUCUAUUCCAGAAACAGGUCUGGAAUAGAAAAAUUGUUUCUGGAACAGAAAUUCUAGUUUGUCAUGCACCCCCUAAACUUGCAAUGGCUUAAAGUUGGGGAAAUAAAUAAAGAAGAUUGGGGGCAUUAGAGACAUUUAAAUGCUACCUUUAAAAUAGAGAUGAUUUCAACAAGUGUGUGAGGGUUAUUGAGCAGAGUGAUAACUCUUGCUAUUACAAUCUUAGGGCGGAUCUAAAAGAAUCAAAGUUUAUUGUGGAAGUAAGUGAUGAUGCUAUAUUUGGGAAUUUGUGGAGAAUUGUCAACAUUUGGGAGUGGGGUCAUGCUAUUGUGAGCGUGGGAGGGGAAUGCACCGGCAUUUUUAUUUUGAUUCCCCGAGAUGUGCAGCAAAUGAAAAUGAGUAUAUGCAGCGCUUUAACAUAUUUGCCUAGCAUGGGUCUGCUUGAAUACCUUGAGGAGCUAGAAAUAGAAAAAUGGGAAAACUUAGGAGUGCUCUAUGGAGGACAAGAUGGAGAAGUGAUCGAUAUCUUUGAAUAAACAUUCAGAGAAGAAGAUAGAGAACCCUUAAACAAAAUAGCAUCUUUGUCCAUCGUAAGAUAGAAAGUAGACAUCAAAUUUAGAUAAUCUUACUUUAAAUAUUUAGCAAUAACAUUCAUAAAAAUAGAACAUAAUAUAAGACUAAACAGUAAUAUAACGAUUCAUUUACAUAAAGUGUCAAUAUAGCAUUUUGCAAAAAUUUUAUACAUGUAAUAUGGGUUCAUAUCAAUAAAUAGAAUUUGAAGAAGUAGAUUUUUGAAUUUGUGCAACCCAUGGGUCUCUAUUUACUACACAUUCUACAAAAAUAUGCAGUCAUAAGCUACAAUUUGAUGGAACCACCUACCAAUAUACAAAGUUCUAUUCACAUCAUAGGAAAUGUUUUCUAGCAAUCAGAUGGCCUCGAAUAUUUUGGGGGCAAAGAUGGACACAUUUCAUUCAUAUGAGGGUAUGGGUCCAUUGUGUUGUAUCCUGACAACUCCAUUCGAUACCUACCUCGUAUUUGACAAAAUGGAAGCUCAACCUCGUCCCCAUCAUUGCACUACUUAGGCAAGCAACUUGAAUUAUUCUCAAAGAACCUUAGUGAGUAAGCAUCUUUUAUCUGCAUAACAAAAAAUGCUAUUUACAAAUGCCAAAUGGGAUUCCUCAUGACAAAAGAAAGAUUGACACUCCUCUGCUUUUCACCUGUCAUCAAAAUAAUGGAAAACCAAGUGUAACAACUCAGCAACAUUCACAUGCAAGGGCGGAAGAGAAAAAAGAUAAUUGCAUCUUACGUAUUCAAACUCGACUUUUCCUUCCCACUCUUUGAACUCGAAUGUGUGCUCACGAGAUAAAAAAUAGUAGUACCAUGUGACACGGUAUGGGGUUGCAAAGACAUAAAUAUCCACACAUGUCCAGCUAUGGGCUUUGCUGACUUAGAUGAGCAAUCCAAACUAAUGGUUAGAAGCCAGACUACAAUUGCCUACACAAGAUAAUUCGAUUUUACAUCAAAUGAAACAACCAUACUUGAAUGAGCAAUCAAAUCCAAAUCACUAAAUCCUUCAUCAACCACUUAAAACCCAAACACAAAAAACUCAAGUGACAAACCAUGGUACCACCAAUUUGUGGAGCUUAAUCAAGUACAAAUAAGCAGAUGAAAGGAAAAGAAAAGAAACCGCAGCAAGUGAUGAAAUCCACUUGAAACAUAUUGAAGUAAGAACUGAAAAAUUCCGUGACUCAGAUUCCAACAUAAAUAAGCAGAAUGAAAAAAAGAGGAACGGUUGGGAUCAAGUGCACAGGCCACACAUCGAAGGAUAUUCUCUAACAUCCUUUAAAUAAGUAAUUUUCUUUCACAACUCUAUAGAUAAUGGUAUGACCGCAAACUUCAGUUGGUAAGAAAAAUACCUUACGUAGAUAGAAACUCUAUCCAGUUCAGAGCUUUGAAUCCAUUAGAAUAAUUCAACCUCAAAUUGCGCAAGAUAGAAAGCUCAAACUAAGUACCACAAGUUAAUCGGAAACUGAACGAUGGCCAUUAGACCCCAUCAAACAAACCCCUACAACCUCACAUCUCCUAGAAUUAUCACACAAUCGAACUGCAGUGAAUUGAAUUAAGCACUAACAUUUGACCAGAGAACCUCAAAAGCCCGUGAACAGUGACUGUCUCUCCACAUUACCGAGCCGCCACAAGCUCAAACAUCCCAAAAUCUUUCAGAAUCGCACUCAAACACAAGUAUUUCCAUUCCGUUCCGUUCCCCACUAUUCACCAAACAAAAAACAAGGCUUGGAAUCAUCACUCCAGUCCAUUCCUUUCCCCAUCAUUUCCUGAUUCCAUUCCAUUCCACCAUACCAAACCCAACAUAAUAGUCAACCAGAAAACCUCAUCUUCCAGAAUGGCACUCAAAUCCAAACAGAGACCAAGCAAAAGCGACGUGAUAAAACUAAAGAACGGACCUUGAUGUGAAGCGUGCCUCCGCCGAACUCGCUCCCAGUGUUGUUUGUGGAACUCCAACCAAGCGGCGUUCUCGUAAAAGCAAGCUCCAUUCCACGCCAGAGAGCCGUUGGAGGGAGAAGCCGCGUCGACGAAAGGCGGCAACAUGUCCACGGGACGGCCAAGGGCGUUGAGGAUGGGCCAGGACAGCUGACUCGGCAGCAGAGGGAGUACGUCCUCUGAGGCGGAACGGUGGCUUCGCGGCUCGAGAGCGCGGGUGGAGCAGAGAGAAGAAUGUGAAGAGGAAGAGAAGCAGCAGAAAUUGGCUGACGAGAAGCCAUGGAAAUUGAGAGAGAGAGAGAGUCACCUCUCCAGCGACGGUCCACUUCUUUUAGCGUCUCACACUACACUAUAAAAGGUGUAGGGGCAAGAGGAGCCCACUCGUUUUGAUUAUAUCCUUGGACGCUUGGUAAUUUAGGGUGCUUAACCAGUUAAAUGAAACAUUAAAGCAUAAUUGGGGCUGAAAAUAUUAUGUAUUUUUAUAUUAUGUAUUAAUAUUGGCAAAAAUCUUCAAUUAUAUCCAUUGUGACAUUAAUGUCUCAAAUUAGUAUUGAUUUCUAGGUGAAUAAAAGUUAGGAUUUUUAGAGACAAGAGAAAGGUAUUUCCACUUCAAAUAGAAGUUUUAAGUGUAAAGAAGGGCGAUUAGAAGUCUCCAUGGAGGACCUAACCCUAUGGGAAGAUAUAUUGCCUACCCACCCCCUUAUAGCUUACCGUCAAACUUUGGCCAUUGAUAGCUUCAAAUUGGCUUAUAUUGCCUAUCCCUCACCCUCUUAUAUUUGCCUCAACAACUUUCACUACACCGCCCUCUCAGGACUUAGUUAACAUCAAGAGUAUCCUUUUAUUUAUAUGUUGUCAGUACAAACUCGACAUUUAGCUUGAUUUUGCAAUAAUCAUGCAAUCUUCCUUGUUGCUAAAUUGUGUCUUGAGUUUGAGCCAAAUCCACACCUUAUUGCUCAAAGUCACGCACGAAAUGCAGUGUUCUUUUAUUAAUUAAUGCGCACGCAAGUCUUGGACCUUUUUUUCUCUACUUCAUUAAUGCUAUGCUUGCACGAAUCUCCUCCUGUGUCCCCUUAUCAUUUUUCUUCUUUUUUUGGUUCGAAUCCCCUUUUGUCAUUGAAGGAGCUGAACGUCCAUUUUUCGCCUUCACUCCACAGCGCUCCCUAUUUCGGAUUCUCGCUCGAUCAGCGAAAUGGGAAAACUCGGCGCCAAAGUGGACGUCGGAAAUGGCGGUGAUGGCGACGUUCUUGAGGCCUAGCCUCAAUAUUCGAGUGGAAUUGAGAGGGUGCUUCCAUUCCAGACAGUGGUGGAGAACUGUGACGCUCACGGGGUGCUCGAGACCCCGGAGAUUGGAUCCGAGCACAGAGGCACGUGAGUCGUUUCGCGUUUUCAUGGAACAGGGGUGGACGUUGGUGAUCUGGUUGGGGAAAGGAUGGAGCUUGAGGAGGAUGGUCAGGGAAGUGUAUAGAAACGGACUCGACUUAGGGUUCAGGAACGGGUUUACAAAUCGGAUUCAGGUUGCGAAAUGGACCUGCAUCUUUCUAGGAUGGAGAAGUUUUUUCGGAAAUUGUGAGACGAUUUUGGGAAUUUGAAAGAAACGAGAAGGGGCCAAUUUUAAUUUAUUUUGGCCAAACGUCGAGCAAUAGUUUCGGAUUACUAAGGAGUACAUAUAAAUUUCAGCACGGUGACCUCUUUGGUUCAGAUCGGAAAAGUAGUGUGGGGGUGGCCAAUCGAUAAUGGUCUCGCCGCCCUCUAGUGAUACGCAAGGGCCUGGUAGUGCAACGCUGUGGGCUUAGUAGGGCUUUUAGGGCUUAUUUGCCAGAUAUCCAUCGAUUUCUGGCCGAAUACAUGGCAACAACCAAGUGGCGGAGGUUGUUCUCAUGGGACGGACACAGCCAUGGUCGCCGUCCCCUGGGAUGAUUAAGUUAAACAAUUUGUCAAAUUGCUUAAUUCGACAAUUUCGUACUCAACAGUGUCGACUCCGUAACUCGCUUUCCCUUAUGACAAAUGAACAAUAUCAUGGGUUUAGACCACAGUAAGCAUCGGCUAAGAUCAAAACGUUCAAAGUCAGCGACAACAAGUCAACGAUGAGGCCCUUGAAAGACUUCUAUCCUUCCAAAAGUCUUUUUUGACUUAGGCAAUUCCAUUUGUUUUUUCACGUACUUGUUCAAGUUUUUGGGUCAGAUUUUCUCAUGUGCUGAUGACUUAAUUAUUGCAUGAUUAUAUUAUUAAACUAAAUAAUUUGAUAGAUUAUGAUUGAUCUUAUUAAGCCAACCACAUUUGAUAUUUUCACGCUAUUUGGCAUACAAAAUGUCAAUAUAAAUACUAUAAUUCUAGGGACAGAAAUUGUCUCAAAGGCGAACGCAUCUUCAUGAGUAAUAUCGUCAAACUCCUUUUGAGAUUCUCCUUCCAAGGCAUGGUCUCCUACUUAGAUAACUCGAUCAGUUUCCUCUUUUUUCCAAUAAUAUAAUUUAAUUUCCCUUUAUUAAUUUCCUCUAUUUAGAUCUAGUGUAUUUCUUUACUAGUGCUUCCACUCCUAGUGAAACAAGGAGAUUAAAUUUAUCUGGUCGGUUAACUAUCAACAUCAAUUAAGAUUUAAUUUAUUUCUAUCUCUUUUCGUAAUUAUUUAUACACAAAAUUCUUAUUGUGUAUUUUUAUCAAUAAAUUAUUUGCAUGAUUUAAUAAUUCAUAAAUUUUACCAAAAAAAAAGAUUUAAAUUCAUUUUUUAAAUACCAAUUGUUCCCACACACAUAAUGCAUAGCGGGUGAUAAAUAAAACGCGGUAGAUCCUCAUUGGAGAAAAGGAGCUUGCGUAUAGCACGAUUUCAUUCUCUAGAAUCAAUUAUUUUCUUAAGAAAGUAUCUCGCAAUUUCCAAGUUGUCUUUGAAUUAAUCGAGUCUUUCUUAAAUAUCAAUCUACAUAUUGGCUUUCUCAUUGUUGAAUGGAUUUAGUACUGAUGGGUGUUAUUAUUUGCAUGGGAGUAAUGCUAUAAAGCCCUUAGAAGACAAAAAAGGAUUUUCACUCUAUAUGAUGUCGUGCGCUCUAUAUGUAGGGGUGUGCAUGGUCUAGACAGGCGAUUCCCGACCUAGAAUCGGGAAUCGCCCGCUAAGGACCGGUUCCGAAAAAUUGGAACCGGGAUCCACCCGUUUGUUGCAUAUCCACGCGGGAACCGGACCGCCGGUUCGAUCUAGUUCCCGGGUGGAUCUAUGGAACUAUCAACACCUAAAUUUUGAUUAGGUUUUUAAUUAGAAUUAAGUUUCUUUAUUUAUGUAUUUUGCCUCUUUUUCAGAUAAAUUCAAUAAAAACAAGAAAAGAAAAAGCAAAAAAAAAAAAACAGCCAGCCCCUUUUUCUUUCUUUUCCCUUCGCACAACCCGCCCCCCCCCCCCCCUCUUCUUCUUCCUCCUGUCUUCUUCUUCUUCAUUCACCUCUGCAUCUCACGCGCGGUGGCCGGCGACGCACUCAAGGGCAGCCUACGGCAGAGAGGCACGGAGGUAGGUCGCCAAAGGAGAGGACAAUGCGCAUGCGCCUUCAAUGCGCGCCUUUAAUGCUGAGAUGAGACGCCAGUUCGGCCGCGGGGGUCCGGUCGACAAGCCAAAGACCGGCGGCCAAGCCUCUCCGUCGACUGGACCUCCUCGCCUAUAAAUAGCGGAGCACUUCCAUCGUCGAAGGGACACACACAAGCGAGCUCCGAGAUCUUCCCACUGAGAGACUUCGGAGGAGGAAUCAAAGAGCGAGCGAGAGAGAAAUCGGGUCGCGAGCCGACCUCCCACUGAGAGACUUCGGGGGAGGCCGCCGGCGAGCGAGUUCGAAGAGGUUGGAUUUGGCCGGUGGAGGCUCGGAUCUGGUCGAAGUGAGAGAGAAGCAAGGUCAGAGGAGGUGCAAGGGUUCUGGAUUCGUGAAGAGGGGCGGAAGAAGAGGUCCCACCCCCCAACACCGCUGCUGUGCCAAAUCCCGCUGUGCCGCCCUCUCGCUGUCACCGUAGCCGAGCCCCAGGCCACUGUCUCGAGCCUCGCCGUCUUUGCCUAGUCGUCCUUGCCGUCCCUACAGCCACCGCCACUGCUGGACCAGGUAGAAAUCCCUCUGUCUCCGUCGACCUAGCCGCCGCCGCUGCUUCGUCGUUGCCAUUCGACCUUUCGCGAAACCCUAGCCUCAAUCGAGGGCUUGUUAUGCUGCCGUCGUUGCUACCAUCGCCGUCGUCUUCCCCGCAGCGCCUCACCCUUCCCCUCUCCGACGCCGCGAAUCGAGAACCCUAGGGUUCUCGAUUUUCUGGGUCGUGGCCUCGGGUCAUCAGAUAAGACUCGGGCCACGAACCGGGUAGGGAUUUCGCGAUUUGGGGGUGGUGGGAGCCGGGUUGCGAGGUCGGGUCGGAUCCGGGUAGUGUUCAGCUAGGAACCCGAGUCUUCGAGCCGGAUCCGGAUCGAGUAGGGUUUCCGCUGGGAGUCGGGUCGUGGAGCGGGUUGUCGGGCUGGGCCGAAUGUCCCCAAAUGCCCAGCCACAACGCCGUUUCAAUUAAAAAAAAAAAGACAAAAAGACAAAAAAAAUCCGAGUUGGGCCCGCGUUGCAAGCCCAUCCUCGUUCGGGUCGCUGGCCUAGGUCAGACCCAACCCACAAAUCCAACUUGGGUCGGUUUAUUUUAUUAUUUUAAUAUAAAAUAAUAUUUUGAUGAAUAAUAAAUAAUUUAUUUUCAAAAAAAUAAAAAAAAUUAUUUUCAAAAAAUAUUUAAAAAAUGUUAAAAAAUGUUAUAUUUUCAAAAAAUCGGGAAAAAUAAAAAAUAAUUUAUUUUCCAAAAAAAAUAUUGAAAAAUAUUUAAAAAGAUUUUAUUUUCCGAUAAAAAUCAAAAAUAUCAAAAAUAUUCCAUAUUUUCCAAAAAAUGGAAAAAAUCCAAAAAAUUCAGAAAAAGCCAAAAAGACUUGUAUUUUUUUUCCAAAAUAUCAAAAAAAAAUCCAAAAAAUCCCUUUUAUGUAAAAAAAAAAAAAGACUCAAAAAUGUUUUUCCUCCCAAAAAUGCAUGGAAAAUUUCCCAAAAAUCCAAAAACUCUUAGGGUUUAAACAAGAUUAGGUACCGAAAGGGCAUUAGUGAUUAACUAGUGUAAUCAAGUCCCCGAUCCUAAUUUCUCUGGUUGCGCAGGAGUGAGUAUUUAUCCUGAUACUUUGCUUGAGUUUCUAAUCAACUCACCCCAAAUCGAUUAGUGGCGACUUCAUUUUAAAAAUUGAUUUACAGGUUAAAAACUUGAACCAUUAAGUUGCGAAUUGGUAGACUUGGGAGAGUCCGAGCAUAACUAAUUUUAGCCGAGCCAUUAGCCUCCUUAGGCGCCUGUACUUGAUUGCGGGCGCCGAAAAAAAAAGAGGUCGCGACAGGAACCGAUCUUGUCGCCAAAAAAUUUUGGUUUUCAACAUAGAACGGUCAAGUCUAUGAGUUGGGAAGGAGGGGAGGAGGUCUAUGGUCGGGUUUUCAACAUAGAACAGUUGCGAAACAAUUUUCUGCAGCUAUGGCAAGUGGCAACCGACGCAAGGGGGCGAACAGCAGCGGCGGAGGAGCAACGACGGCGGCGUCGACGCUCAGGGAGGAAUCGAAAUGGCGAUAAGAUUAGGAGGAACCGAGGAAGAGACAAAGAGAGAGAGAACCGAAAACGAAGGGAGUGAGGAGAUGAGAUCUAAUCUAGAGUUUCUUUUAGUAAUUUUAUUUUUUAAUAUUAAAAAGGCUCCGGUCCAGUCCGGGUGGACGGAUCCACCCAUGGAAUCGGGAACCGGACCGGUAACCACCGGUUCCGAAAAAUUGGAACCGGGAACCGGACCGGUUCCCUCAAGAACCGCCGGUUCCGGGCAGUUCCCGGGUAUUUUGCACACCCCUUUCUAUAUGUAGUAUGGCCAUUAAAAAUGCAGAAUAAACAUGGUUUCUUUUUAUUAUUAUUUUUUCUAAGAAUAAAGUGAUCCAUUUAUCUGAAUGCAUAUUGGAAAUAUAUGACAUGAAUGAUAUAAAAUGUAACAGAAAAAGAAAUUUCUUGAAAUUUUGCAAAGUCGGAGGUGCUGCUCAAAUCGAGCAGUGCGGGUGGUCCAAGCAAACAGACGUUAAUGUACACGAAACAAAAGGUAGGAAAAGUAAGAAGAGCAACGUGCAGAAACGACGACGGAUUAACGGGGAACGAGCAUGGCUUUAAGCAAACAUAGAAAUAGCACAUCUCACGAUAUUUUGAUAUCGCGUAUUCUUCCUCUUCUUCUUCUUCUUUUAAAUUCCUAAGGCUGCUCCGGAGCCUCUCUUCACUUUCGUUUUUUUGUUUGUUUUUUCCUCCUCGUUUUCCAACCACAUCCUCACCAUAACGCGCCUUCUCUCUUUUGUCCUCUAGCUCUCCCCCCUUUUCUUUCGCCCGACUCUUCUCUCUUCUUGUCUUGCUUUCUUUUUUGGGUUCCCCGUCCAAACCCUCAAUGAAAAUUAAUUGUUGUUUAGCAUUCCAAAGUCCAGCAUUAUCGGGCCUCAUCAUCGACCUAUCAAGUUCGCUAAACUCAGUCAUCAAUGGACUGACUACUUUUGUUUGAACACGAGCUGCACCAACAUGGCAAGAAAAAGGAAAAUAAAAACUCAGGCAAUGGCUCAUUGAUUUCUAACACUUCCUCAUAAAAAUUUUUGAAAAUAAAUUUUAACAUCACUGCUUUGAGGAUGGACGCACUCUCAACAAGUGAACCCGAGUGAUCAAAUUCAGUAAUACAACAGACUCAUCUAAAAAAUUUAAGUUUAAUAGUUAUUUUAUACGGCAAUCAUGAUAGGAACGUGGCAACGAUAUCUUGAUGUAUCAUAGGAAUGUUAUCUAGAUAUGCAAACGGCAAAUGAACAAACAACAUACCGGCAAUGACUUGGGUAGUAAUGAUGCAUCUAUGAGGCCUAUACCUUAUUCAAUUUUUUUUCUAUUUGCUUUUGUUCAUGUUUUCUUUCUCAAACCACUCUAAUAUGAAUUAAAUAGCAUAUAUCUUGUUGGGAAUAACGGAUCCCCGAAAACUGGAUUCGACACUAAAUCGAACCCUUAAAUCAAUGCAGAAGACGAAGCCCAGGAAAUACACGUAUCACCGAUCGUAAAGCACACCACGAAUUCGAGCGUACCUUGUUAGCCACAGAUUAGACACCGACGCCGAUAGGAGGAAGAAAAUCUGACCCUGUUCGAUCCGACGAAGCAAAUUCGCCUUCGUACUUCACUGUUUUCCUUUUAGGAGAGAAAGUGAGAGAGAGAGAGCGUGAGAAGAAAAAGACGUACGUUUACUUUUUUUUUUUUCUUCAACAGGUACUUUUUCUCUCUCUCUCUCUCUCUCCUCCCUUUUAUAUGUCCCCCCCAUCCACGGGCCGUAUUCCCGUGGGCCGAGCUUUUUGGGCCCAACUUGGGCGAACGGGCCAACUUAGGCCCAUCUCCAUAAAUAAAACUAUCAUCUCCCACUCACACAUGGUGGGCCGAACAGGAUUCUCUUUACCUCUCUUCAACAUUCAUACCGGUGAAUAAUCCGUGCGACCAGCAUACUUUGAGAGCUCGUUGCUAUACAUUUUUUAGGAAUAUAUAGCAGCUUAUAAUGGGCGUCUCACUCUGAGUAGAUCUAGUAUGCAGUACCCUAGAUCGAUCAAUCACAUUUAUAUCUCUCUUGAUCUCUUUUAAACAUGAUAUAUAUAUUGUAUUCACAAUUAUAAUUGUCACAAAGACAGUCAUAAUUGGUCGACCAGUGAAUACAAAACCAUAAUGUGAUUCUCCAAAAUCGAUCUUCUUCUUUCCUUCAAACUCUCAAUUUCAGUCCAGCUUGCUUUUCUAGAAAUGUCCCAUUAGAUCGAAUUAUCUCAUGACCAUUGGCAACAUCCUAAGAUAGCAAACACUAAAUAGAAAUCUUGAGAAUAAGUAAGAGUCCUGAGGGGACUAAAAAUUGAGGAACUCUUUUCCUCAAGAGUCUCACACAUCAUAAAAGUUGAGAUCAAAAUUUUUGCCACUCUUAUUGGUCGUCUCAUGCAUACGUAGUAUGAAAUACGUAUUACGGUAUUAACUCCUUUCCAUGGAGCGUAUGUCUACACCUUUCAAUACCGUACAGAUGAUAGUUCAGACAUACCUAAUGUCUAACUUAAGUUCACGUAUCUACUCAAUCACAAAAUUCAUCAGAACUCACAUCUGGCAUCAUAGAUAGAUAAAGUAAAAUAUGUGGGUUAUUUUACUUUCGGACAUCUUUAGUAUUAUGUCAUCAUCUUAACACUCAGUUAAGGCGACAUACGUAUUUUAAGCUUGAGCUCUCGAUUAUCACAUAGAUAAUAAGCUUAAAAACAGUCUCAUCUCUAUUUAUCACAUAGGAAAUAUAGGCGAUUACCUGUGUGAGUGGGCUAAUCUUAUAUAUGUCCGACAUACUUCUCAACUUAAAAUAAUGUACUGAGCAUUAAGAUGCAUAAAGAUCAAACAAAUAUUCAUAGGCAUUAAUAAUGAAACAACACAAGUUCAUUGAUGUGAACAACUCAGGGAAAUUACAAUAUCUAGUACAUCAGACUCUACGCAAUCCUAGAGAUUUUACAUGGCCACAAAACACAUCUCUAGGUAUUGGCUUUGUCAUAGGAUCUGCUACCAUUCUAGGCGUAGAUAUGUACUGUAAGUUCACAUCCUUUCGUGCAACCAUAUCUUUCACAAAGUUAUACUUAGUAUCUAUAUGUUUGGUCUUUUCAUGAUAUUUUGGAUCUUUGGUGUACGCUAUAGCUGCUUGGCUAUCACAGUUAACCAACAAUGGAUUUGCAGCUUUCUCAUUAACACCUAAAUGAUCCAAAAAUCUCUUAAGCCAAACUCCUUCUUGUACCGCUGCUGAUAAUGCCACGAACUCAGCUUCCAUCAUGGACAAAGCUAUACACAUUUGCUUCUUACUGCUCCAUGAUAUGGCGCCAUUGUUCAGUAAGAAAGCAAAUCCAGAGGUAGAUUUCCUUUCAUCUAAAUCUCCUCCCUAAUCAGCAUCUGAAUAGCCUUCAAGUCGUAGAUCCUUUCCUUGGUAAUUCAACUUGAAAUCAGCAGUUCCCUUCAGAUACUUCAGUAUUCUCUUGACGGCUUUCCAAUGUGCUGGACCUGGAAUGGAUUGAUAUUUACUCACCAUUCCAACUGCAAAACAUAUGUCGGGUCUUAUACACAUCAUAGAGUACAUCAAGCUCCCAACAGCACUAGCAUAAGGAACAUGUUUCAUUUGUUCCUUCUCUUGUGGAGUCCCUAGACACAGUCUGUGGCUCAAUCCUUCACCUUUUGCAAUAGGAGUGUCUAUGGGUUUACAGUCUUGCAUACGAAAUCGUUCAAGAACCUUAUUUAUAUAGGUUUCUUGUGAAAGAGACAACGAUCUCUUCGAACGAUCUCUCGAAAUCUUAACUCCAAGAAUGUAUGCAGCCUCACCCAUAUCCUUCAUCUCAAAGUUAGAAGACAACCAUCUCUUGACAGUAUUAACCAACUCCAUAUUACUUCCGGCAAUUAGUAUAUCAUCAACAUACAAUGAUAUGAUCACAAAUUGAUCAUUUGAUCUUUUGAUAUAUACACAAUGAUCCUCAUCAAUCAUUUUAAAAUCAUAUGCCAUUAUGACAUUAUGAAAACGUAUAUACCAUUGUCUUGAUGACUGCUUAAAACCAUAUAUCGACCUCAAAAGUCGACAUACUUUUUCUUCUUGGCCUUUCACUAUGAAACCAGCAGGUUGUUCCAUAUAUAUUUCUUCCUCUAAUUCUCCAUUGAGGAAAGCAGUCUUUACAUCCAUAUGAUGUAACUCAAGAUCCAGACUAGCCACUAUUGCCAGAAUAAUGCGAAUCGAGAUAAAUCUUACUACAAGAGAAAACAUAUCUUCAUAAUCAAUUCAUUCCUGUUGAUUAUACUCCUUUGCCACAAGGCGAGCCUUAUGUCUUUCUAUCGAGCCAUCAGCCUUUCGCUUUAUUUUGAGAACCCAUUUGUUCCCAAUAGCUUUGCGUCCUUUUGGAAGAUCAACAAGUUCCCAGACUUUGUUUGAUUUCAUUGACUCCAUUUCCUCUUCCAUUGCAUGAAUCCAUUUUUCCUUACUAGGGCAAUUCAGAGCCUCAUUAAUAUUUCUUGGCUCAUCUUCAUCUUGUGGAGCAAUAAUAAAAGUUUCUCCUUCAAUGUCAAAACGUCGACGGGGAAUACUUUAACGACUUGUUCGCCGUAUGAGAGAUUGUACACUUUGCACAUCAUUCUCCAUCAUGCUCCCACUUGGAUUAGAUAACGAUGACGUCAUCUCAUCAUGUGGUUGUAAUUGAUUACUCAUUUAUCAUAUUACUCCCACUUGGACGAACUCCACUAAUAUCAUUAUCUUGAUCCAAGGUCUCAAAUAAGGAACAAUCUUCCCCUAUUUGGCCCUUCUUAGGAAAUUCAUCCUCUAGGAAUGUGAUUCAAACUCAGUUAUACUCCUACUUUCCUGCUCACUCAUGAACACAUAUCCUUUCGAGUGUUCUGAGUACCUUAUGAAAAUACUCUUCUUUCCUCUAGGACUCAAUUUCCCAAUUUGUGAGAUAACUCAUGUGUAUAGGCGACACAACCCCAUCACUUAAGAAAACUUAAGUCCGGUUUUCUACCUGUCCAUAACUCAUAUGGAGUGGAAGUAACUGAUUUGGAAGGCACCCGGUUAAGUAUAUAGGCAGCAGCUAACAAUGCAUCACUCCAAAAAAUAAUUGGUAAGUUAGCAUGCGCCAUCAUGAACCUAACCAUUUCCAGUAGGGUUCUGUUUCUUCUCUCCGCAACACCAUUUUGUUGAGGAGUAUACGGAAUAGACAACUGUCUUUCUAUUCCUUUUUCAUCACAUAAUUUUUUGAACUCAUCAGAUAAAUAUUCUCGACCUCGAUCGAAUCUCAAUGCUUUUAUUUUCUUAUCUAAUUGAUUUUCUACCAGGUUCAUAAACCUUUUGAAAUAAAUUAUUACUUCAGAUUUAUGAGAAAUCAAAUAGACAUAUCUGUCGCGACCCGAUCUCGCCGUCCCCUCGAAAUGGUAUCCAAGGAUGGGAAAGGUCGGGUUUAGGGGUACUUGAUCUCAAGAUCACGAACUCUCCCAAGCUCGUACCCCGCGUGACAGCGGAUUUAUUUAUAGGAUCUAAUUGUUUAUAACAACCUACAAAAUAUACAGGAGUCGCCACUAGCCUUAACUUUGGGGGUCGGCUAGAAACCCAAUCGAGAGUCGGGAGUGUUCCCUCGAUUCCUACGCAACCAGAUAUCUAGGUUCGGGGACUUGGGUUACGCUAAUAUUGCUAUUAGCGCCCUUUCGGUACCUAAACAGUAUGUUGUGUUUUUUCUAACAUGUCCAUGCGUUUCUUUUUACAUUUUUCGGGAUCAUUAAUUCCUAGGCUAAGUGAUCAUGCGUGGUUGAUCGUUUUCAUGCUAUUCUAUUUCUAAAAAAAUGAAAAGAAAACAAUCAAUGAAAUUGAAAGUGCAAGACAUGAAGUAAACAAUCAAAAGAAAGCAAUAAACCUAAUCAUGCAAUUCUAAAAAUAUAAAAGAGAAAACACAAUUAAGAAAAAAAGAGGGAAAAAGGGAAAACCCGCAACUCGUCGGGUUUUAUACAACACAAGGAACCUGAGACAUAUGUCGGGAGAAAAAUGAAUAUUACAGAGUAACGGUCGGAGUGGACAUCGACCUCCACCAUCUUCACGCUUUCUCCAUCUUCAAGGUCCUAAUCUAAACCUAAUCUAAGAAAUUUAUGACUAGGUGCAUACAAGUGAAAGAAACAAUCACAACUAAGAUCAAAGCAAUUGGAGUAGAACCCACGUGAGAUUGGUUCUAAGAAAAAGGCACAGAAAUCAAGCACUUUAUAAAGAGCAACUUUCAUGAAUGGAAUUUCUUGAGGCGUAUCAAGUUCAAGUAAAGUCAAAUUCAUGGCCAAAAAACAACAAUCUCUAAAGCAUGCAAAUCAAUUAUAAGCAAAUCAAAGAAUGAUGCAUGACAACUGAUUUGUUAAGUCACCUAAUCAAUGCAGGAAAAUCAUGAAAUUUGAACAUGACGUAGGGUUAAAUGUGAAGAAAAAGUUUGAUUUAGACAUUUAACCCUAAAUCCAUGUGCAAAAGGCCACACAAAUCCAUUAACAUUGACACGUGACUUGUCAUUAGGAGCAAAAUGCAUAACAAUUUAAAUUGCUACAUGUCAACUUGAAUUCUAAGGUUACUUGACCUUAAAAAUUCUCAAAUUUUAGCAUGGGAUGGAUAUGGAUAUUAUGGACAGCUUUCAUUGAGAAUUUAUCCUCAAGAUCAUUUUGUAUAAGAUCACACAAAAUUGGUAGACAGUCAGAUUCAUAGAGACAAGACAGCACUGCAGGUCAAGACAAAUUCAGACUUCAAAACUUGAUCUAAAGAAAAGAAAAAAACAGGGCAAAUGAUGGGCAAACUGGACAAACUAGGCAUCGUUAGAAAGCUCAAGGUGUCCUUUACGAAUUCCUAUUAGGUGACAAUUGCAAUUUAAGUCUUUUCCUAGCUCAAGUAAAGCCAUUUGUAUGAGUGGUCAGAUCAGAUCAUAACAAAGAGAACACAUNNNNNNNNNNNNNNNNNNNNNNNNNNNNNNNNNNNNNNNNNNNNNNNNNNNNNNNNNNNNNNNNNNNNNNNNNNNNNNNNNNNNNNNNNNNNNNNNNNNNNNNNNNNNNNNNNNNNNNNNNNNNNNNNNNNNNNNNNNNNNNNNNNNNNNNNNNNNNNNNNNNNNNNNNNNNNNNNNNNNNNNNNNNNNNNNNNNNNNNNNNNNNNNNNNNNNNNNNNNNNNNNNNNNNNNNNNNNNNNNNNNNNNNNNNNNNNNNNNNNNNNNNNNNNNNNNNNNNNNNNNNNNNNNNNNNNNNNNNNNNNNNNNNNNNNNNNNNNNNNNNNNNNNNNNNNNNNNNNNNNNNNNNNNNNNNNNNNNNNNNNNNNNNNNNNNNNNNNNNNNNNNNNNNNNNNNNNNNNNNNNNNNNNNNNNNNNNNNNNNNNNNNNNNNNNNNNNNNNNNNNNNNNNNNNNNNNNNNNNNNNNNNNNNNNNNNNNNNNNNNNNNNNNNNNNNNNNNNNNNNNNNNNNNNNNNNNNNNNNNNNNNNNNNNNNNNNNNNNNNNNNNNNNNNNNNNNNNNNNNNNNNNNNNNNNNNNNNNNNNNNNNNNNCAUGAAGAUCCAUAUGACUCUCUCGACAUGCAAAACUAUUUCAUCAAUGGUUCAGUUCAGACAUGAAUCAAUUAUAUCUACCGAUCAACGGUCAAAAGACAUUCGAAAGCCAACUCUAAUCUAACUCGAGCAUUUCAUUACAUAUUGUAACUAAAAGCACGUGAAUUUACAAAAUCCUGGAAGAGAUCAAGGUCUAUCAAAAGUAGAACAAAGCAACAAGGCAAACAUACAACCAUUUUUUCUGUAGAUGAUGGAAGUGUGGAUCUUCAGGUAAAUCAUUUUUAUCAAUGGCUGCCAUCUAAGGGAACACCUGCAAAAGUGUCUUUAUCUUAUAGACAUUCCUGUAUAACUGUGGCAGUUUUUUUUUUUUAAAGCAUCUGGAGCGUAUAUCUUUUGGCCGAAUGGUACAUACCCUAUUGAGUAUGACAGGAAUGCACAUUUUCUUCCAGAAUAUUUCACUCAGGACAGCUCAUGACUGAUGACAGUUUAUAAUUGUAAGUCCUUACAAUAUCUAGGUUCCUUUGACUAUUUUGAGGGGGACCACUGCUGGAUGAAGUACAUCAAAGGAUCAAUUCAUGGACAUAGCAGGCGGCUUGUCAUGCACUCAGUUUUCUCGCCAGAUUGCUAAAAUGCAUUCAUGACACUGCAUCACUAUUAGAUUGUUUCAUCAUGUUCCUAAUGUUGACUAAGCUUUUAGAGGUUUGAGGCUAUUAAUGGCGACCGUAAUGAAGUAUUUGUAUUGACAACUGCAAUUGUGGAAACUCACACAUGAAUCAACAGAGUAGUAUCUAACAUUAUCUCCAUAUCGAACGACAAUGAUGUCCAACUGAUGAUGGGAUUGAGGAAACAAGCAGCACAUAGGAUUAUUGUGUAUUUACCUAGCUCGCGGCACCAGACAGGAGAUAAAGACCCGAGAAAUCGUCCAGAGAGCGAGCCUCCGAUCGAGAGAGUUACUAAUCGCCGGGAGCGAUCCUCAACCAGUCGGAACAGAGAGAAUCUCCGAUCCUGAUGAAGCUAGAUCCGGGCAAGAGCGAUCGAGUGUCUGUAAGAAAAAGAGAAUUAGAGCAGGAAAGAGAAUUCCCGAGCAAAAGAGUCAACUUGAGUCCCAGAGAGCGUGUGAGAUCUGGAGAACGUCCUCGAGAGAGAGAAACCGUUCGGCCGUUUUUCCUCUGAGAGAGAAUCUGAGCCGAGAGCGUUCGUCCGUUCCGUCACAGUCGCGGCUGCACCGAUCGAUAGAGGAAAUUUAGCCGCGGCUAUCACCGAUCGGGGAUGGGAAUACGCCGAGCGCGAAGAUGAUCAGCAUAGCGAGGCCAACGACCGCUUCAAGCUCUUCAUCUUCGAAACCAGAAACAUCACCGGCGAUUUCUUCUCGAUCGCGAGUGGAAAUCAACUUCGGAUCUCAGUACCGGAGGCAACAGGCCAAAGCAAUGGUGGAGACAAAGGAUGCGACGGUUGGCAACCGGAUUGCGGUAGCGGCGGCGCACGAAUCGAAUCUCCGCCGCGAUGGGAAGAACUUGAAGAUUUGAGAUCCGAGUCGAGUGCAGAGAAAGAGCGAAAGCUUCCCGAUGGAGGAUCCUCGAUCUCCGGUUCUCUUUUUGGUGUCGUGACUCCCCCUCCAAAGAAAAAUCUCCGAUCGAAAGAGAGCCAAACCCUGAUCUUCAAUCCCUCCCAUGGAGUGAAAACCCUAGCUGAUUGAACCGGAGAGAGAGAGAACACUUGAUCGAGAGAGAGCCUACCCCCUGGAGAGAGUUCGUUCCUCAUUAUCCGAGAGCCCCCGAAGAGAGAGAGAGAGCCCGUGGAGAGAGAGAGAGCGUGCGUGGAGAGAGAGAGAGCGUGAGAGUCCUCCUCCUUUUCCUUUUUUUUUUCUUUUUUUUUUGUUUUCAUUCCUUUUUUUUUCUUGUUUUCAGUUUUUCUUUUGCUUUGUUUUGUUUUCUCUCUCUUUUUUUCUUUUUGUUUUGUUUUCAUUUUCAUUUUCAUUUUCAUUUUCAUUUUCAUUUUCAUUUCAUUUUUUUUUUUUAUGUUUUCCUUCAUCCAUUUUUUUUAAUCUUUUGGGCUCUUUAUUCUUUUUUUUUCUCUUUUUUUUCUUCUUUUUCCUUAUUUCUAAUUUUUUUUUUCAUUUCAAACAAUUUUUUUAACUUUUGCGAAUUGAACGUUUAAAAUGUCGACAAAAAUUUCGGGUGUCAACAAUAUCCGAAUCGAGUAUAAUCAUCAAUAAAGGUGAUGAAAUAAACAGCCCCAUGCCUUCCUCUCACAUUCAUUGGACCACAGACAUCAGAAUGGAUUAAAUGCAGAGGAAAUUCAGCUCUUUUACCUUUCCUAAAUGGUUUCCUUGUCGUUUUCCCUUCUAGACAAUGCUUACAUAUAGGCAAAUCGACUUUUUCAAUGUUGCCCAACAAGCCCUCUUUGGCUAGUCUAUUCAUACGUUGUUGGCCAAUGUGACUAAGUCUAGCAUGUCACACAUUCACAUCAUUAUCAUAUGAAUUAGGAGACGUGAUAAGGGAAUAACAAACAUUUGCAUUAACAUACUCAAUAUCUAAUACAAUGAAACCGUCCAGAAAAUAACCACAACCAUAGUAGUUUGUAUCCAAAUACAAAUCUACACCUCUAUUAUGGAAGUUCAUAUUAAAACCUAGUCUAACCAACACUAAAACAGACACUAAAUUCCGACGAAUCUCCGGAGCAUACAAUACAUCAUGUAGGAAUAAAGUGCGUCCACCACGCAUAUUCCGUUGGCAUGUGCCAAUUCAUUUCACUUCAGCUCGGGAGUUGUUUCCCACAUAGACCCACUUAGUUCCAGUUGGUACUCGUCGGAAUUCCACGAAGGAUCCUCUAUCCUUCGCUACAUGGUCUGUCGCUCCUGAAUCUAUAGUCCACAAAGGAUUAGACUCAGUCAAGAAUAUAGAACUCGACACAAAAGUAAAGUUCUAAAAAGUACAAGGGGUGUUUACCUUCUUUGGCUCGCGACAAUUGCGAGCAUAGUGACCCUUCUUGUCACAAUUGUAACACCUCACUCUUGAUAUUUUCUUCACUUGAGGACGUUUUCCUCUCUUGUGUUGGUUAACUUUUGAUUUCUUGCAACAAGGACUUGAUCCUUUGCAAUCCCACAUAUUGAACGAAUCAAUACACUUGCGCUUAGAGCUCAAAGCCCUCUCUGAGCUAGAACCAGCAUUGUAAGUGUCUACUUUCGACUCAAAUGCUGUUAGGCAGUCCUCUACUAGCUCAAGGUGGCGCACGGCAUCCUCAAGAUCUUCCAUAAUAUGAUCAAGAGCUUCUAGUACUUCUUACUUUUCCAGCACAUAUUGGACUUUCAUGUGCCAAAUUUCAUAGUUGUCACCAUUGAGCUUUUCACCUUUGUUCAGCUCGGCAACUAUGCUCUUUGUGGCUGAAGCCAUUGAUCUGAACACAUCAGACAUAUGCACGAAUUAUUAAUAUCUAUCAUUUAUGCAUCCCUUUUUUACAUAGACCCAUCAUAUUAAUGAAUAAUUUCAAGUAAGGAUUCAGAAUCAAAAGGUCACUACGUUUCCAAUUAUCCUCCAAAAAUCCUAACUUAAAACUAUUAUUAAUAUGAUUGUCAUAUGCAAAAUCAAUUCUAUGAAGCUACAAAAACUUCUAAAACUACCCACAGCUAAUUACCCACAGCAACCAGCAAUAACAGAAAGCAACAGAUAAUUGACAUACAAUUAAAAAAACAAUAAUGCUUUCAAUUAAUACAACUAUACAUUACACUAAGCAAUAUAUACAAAGAAAAAUAUCAACAUAGAAAGAGAUAUUCAACCAUAAAAACAUCUCAAAACUAAUCUAAGAAAUAAAUAGGGAAUGUCCAUUCUAAUUUAUCAGUCAAAACAUCUAAGAAAACUAAAGGCACAUUUGCCAACUAUGGAAAAACUUUUGGAGAGCUUUCAUGUCGCCACCAAAGCGCAUUUACUCUACGCCAUGUGGCACUCAAUUUAAGGGUUGAAGUUUUGGCCAACUCAAUCCUAUAGUACUCUCUUACAAAAGCUUCCACUAGCUUUCUAUAACCCGAGAUCAUGUUGAGCUCCCAUAGCCGAUCUAACACUGCUUGCCAUUCAGCUGGAAGAGUGUUCAUAAGAGCCGGCACCUUCUCAAAAUCCCGGCAUAAGAUAACCCAUUGUAGAUGAUUUCAUGUAUCAUCUGAUUGACCCUGACCACAUGUGAUACUAAAUCACCGUCAUGCCACCGAUAAUCAGCAAACUCUGUCAUCAGCCUUUUAAGUCUUGCAAUUCCCUCAUCCGUUCUCGGGAUUGCAGGUAUCCUUGUAUAACGCAUCAUAGUUCCUGCAACAAAUGCAGAACUAAAAAAUGGAUUACUUAUAAUCCAUAAUGUACAAAAGGGAAAAUACAUAAUUUUCCAUAAUUCAUGCAACAAAUGCAGAAUAAAAAAAAAUGGAUUACUUAUAACCCACAUAGGCAUGACUGAAAAAAGAAAUAAAUUCAUUUUUUUUUGGGUCAACGGCCAACGGCCAACGGUCAUCGGUCAAUGGUCGUCGGUCAAUGGUCAACGGUUGUCGGUCAACGGUCAACGGAUCGUCGGACGUCGGACGUCGGACUGGACAGACCAGUCGGAUCGGCCAAACCGGUCGAGCCGGAGGGACGGCUCGAGCCAACCGACGGCACGUGUCGUGCGCAUGCGCGGGCUGACGUCACGCAGACGUCAGCCGGCAUGUGCCGAGCGCGUGCUGGGUCUCCUCGGUUCGGGUCCGAUUGGAUCGCCGGUCAGGUCGCCGGCCGGUGACCGCCCGGCGAAACGUCAUCGUGCUAACGUCAUCGAUGACGUCACCCUAGCGGUUACUGACCGUUGGGUGACGUCAUGUUGACGUCAGCACGUGUCAGUCCGCGGACCGGCGCGUGUCGGUUUGCCCGCCGGCGGCGUGCACGCGUCGGUUCGCCAACCGGCAAGUGUGCCGCACGCGUUGGGCAAUCCAGCGCUUUCGGGCGCGUUGCGCCCACGCGCAGCGCCUUUCGGCCGCGCGUGUGGGCGCGUGCGGCGUCGCCCGGCAGCGCUCAACGUAUCGCCAGACUCAUCUCGACGUCGCCUUUCUUCCUAUGCCAUCAUAAUUUGAUUUCGACUUACGAAAACUCAGAAAAUUGGCCGAACAGCGCUCGGGUGUCGGGAUUUUUGCCCCGAUCCGUACGGCCGAAUUGCUUUUGCGAAAUAUCAAUCAAAAAACGUCAAACAGGUCGGGAAAAACGUGAACUAGGGCUCUGAUACCAAUGUUGGGAAUAACGGAUCCCCGAAAACCGGAUUCAACACUAAAUCGAACCCUUAAAUCAAUGCGGAAGACGAAGCCCAGGAAAUACACGUAUCACCGAUCGUAAAGCACACCACGGAUUCGAGCGUACCUUGUUAGCCACAGAUUAGACACCGACGCCGAUAGGAGGAAGAAAAUCUGGCCCUGUUCGAUCCGACGAAGCAAAUUCGCCUUCGUACUUCACUGUUUUCCUUUUUAGGAGAGAAAGUGAGAGAGAGAGAGCGUGAGAAGAAAAAGACGUACGUUUACUUUUUGUUUUUCUUCAACAGGUACUUUUUCUCUCUCUCUCUCUCUCCUCCCUUUUAUAUGUCCCCCCAUCCACGGGCCGUAUUCCUGUGGGCCGAGCUUUUUGGGCCCAACUUGGGCGGACGGGCCAACUUAGGCCCAUCUCCAUAAAUAAAACUAUCAUAUCUUAAUAUAAAAUCAACAAAAGAAUUCUCCAUUUCGUUCUUGAUUUCAUCGAAUGAGACUUUUUCUCUAAUUUUUUUUUACUAAUUCAUUUAGAUUACAUUUUAUAUUAUCACUAAAAUUUCAUUAUGUAAUUUAACUUAUUGUUAUAUCAUCCACAUAAAAAUCAAAAUAUAAUCUAACUAAAUCGAAUAAAUAAAAUCGAACAAAAUCGAAAUGCUCAUUAGACCAUAGAAUAAUCAUAUUAUCGACAUUGUAGAAAACAGAAAUUCUAAUAAUUUUUAACUACUAACUAAAAUAUGUAAUGUGUUUCUAGCUAGUAUCUCGUUCUGUUUUCUUCUCACCCACUAGCUCUAUGCGCAACUAUCGAGCCGUGACCAUGUGAAUGCUUGACUAAUGCCUCCCCUCAGCCGGGUUUUUUCCUGCUUUUUAUGUCCUUACUUUUUUCACUAAAUCUUUGCUGAAGAUAUGGUCCAUUAUGACUGGGCGCUGGUUUUUCUCUGCUGUGUCCACUUCUGAACCACUUUUUUGACCCAGAAUUCCACGAUUUCUGGCCCCCCCUUCCCUGUUUCUAUUCCUUUCUGUGUUUUCACGCUGCUAAUUUCCUCCAUUCACACCCGCAGGAAUCUCGUGUGGAAAGUGGCCUCGAGUCGACCAUUUCGGUCAGCCAGAAGGAGGAAGCGGAGAGGACUUUUAUUCGGAGAGCGGGCUGCGUCCAAAACUUUCACAAGAAUUGCCAUUUAACUUCACCGCGGAAAAUUUAGGAUCAGGUCGUGUAGGGUUAGUUCAUAAGAAUUCACAAUCAGGACCGCAAUGUUAAAUGUGAAAUAAUGCAAUGGAGAGAGAAAUUGUGGGAUUAUGAAUGUACUUUUAUUAGGGGUCAAAUUAUCGUUGAAUCCGAUCGUUAAAUUUUAUGAAAAUGCGAAUGGGACCUUUAAACGAAAAUUUAUGUAUCGACAAUAAUUAAUCUUACAUAUUAGUAAGUAAUUGUUUCUCUUUAAAUCAUCCCUUAGUUGAUUUUUUUUUUCUUUUUGGUCUAAAGAUCUAGACUGCAUACAAAAUUGGUCUUGUGAUUUAAUUAGUAUAGGUAAAAUUCUAAAUUUGAGUCAAGAUUUAUGCAAAGUAAAUAAGCAGUUGUACUCAAGAAGAUUUUCCUAAUUUCUAGAGGUAAAAUAGAGCAACGCUAUACAUAAGAGUACUGGACAUUUAUAUAUAUUAAGAUGGAUAGAGAAUGAUAAGGAAAAUAGUGUGGUAGCCUUCUUAGGUAAAUUUUGUUUUUAAUUUUUCAUUUUUCUUGGAAAGUCUUGAGAAUUUGGCAAUUAAGUAAACCAUAGUUUAACGUUGCAUAAUAAUUUUCCACCUCAUACGGUGCACUCAUUUUUAAAUAUAUUUACAUACUUAGUACCAUUUCGGGGAAGACAAAGAAAGAUAAGUGGGCUCAAAAAUUUCUUGGGUGCACAUUCGCAUAAGUUUCCUCGUGGUUGAAGCUGAAUUUGGCUGAAAGGCGAACGCGUUUUCUUGACUAACACUGUCCACUCCUUUUGAUGACAACGACAUCAGAGACAAUUACCUGACACUAUUGAAAAGAAAAACAAAAGGAGGGGGAAGAGGUCUUAUUGUGGCUUCCAACACAGGCCACUUGAAAUCUCUAAAAAAAAAGUGAAAGUUAUGCGAGGUGGAGUGACAUCCAUAUAAAUAGAUAAAUUGCUCAUUAUUUUGGUAAUAGAAUACUGUUUAGAAAUUAAAAAGAAAAAAAGAUAUAAAUAGUGAUGAAUUAAUGAGGCAGCAAUAUAAUAGGCCACAUUCAAACCCCAUGCAUUUUAUUAAAUUAAAAUAUUAUUACGUCCAUUCUCGAUCUAUAAAAUAGCUUUCACAUUCCCAACUAAGAGUUGACAUGUGGAAUAAUUCACUCACAAAAAUAACUCCAAACACACACGCCAUUCAUUCACGUUAAAUGUGUGUUGAGCUUUUAACAUCGACUAUGCUUUCAGCUGUUGACACCUCAAUUUUAAUUAGGUUAAUUAAUUAAGUUUUUAAUUUAUUUUUUCUUUUCGGAUAAGUAGAUAAUAAAAAGAAGAAAAAAAAAGCAGCCCAUUGGGGCUGGGCUUGAAGGCCUAGCCCCUCCCCUCUUUUUCUCUCUCGCGAGCCUGGCCCCCCUUCUCUUCUUCUUCCUCCUGCCUUCUUCUUCCUCAGUCGCCUGCAUCUCACGCGCGGUGACCGGUGACGCGUGCGAAGGAUGGCCUACGGCCGAGGGGAGUAGGUUGACGUCGGCCGGAGGGGAUAAGAUUGCAGGCGCCAUUAAUGUUGAGCGAGCUUUGCUGGAAAGCUUGAUGGGACACUGGUUCAGCCGAGCGGAACCGGAUGCCGGCGGCCGAGGCCCUUUGUCGACCGGAUUUCCUUCGCCUAUAAAUAGGUGGCCGCAAGCAUCGUUGGAGGGGGGUGGCAAGCUCGAAGAUCCUUCACUGAGAGACAUCGGAAAGGGUUGAAGGGCGAGCGCAGGAGUGAGCUCGAGUCGCGAGCUCAACCCACCUUCUACCGAGAGACUUCGGGGAAGGCCGGUUGCAAGCAACUCCGAGAAGGUCAGAUCCGGCCGGUGGAGGCUCGGAUCUAGCCUAAGUGAGAGAAGAUCGAGGCCGAGGAAGGUUCGGCCGAGAUCUACGCCUCAGAUCUGGUUCUUUUUUGCUGCUGUUGUUGCCGCUGAACGCCGUUUGCCUCGACCAAGUCCCGACGCCGUUGCCUCGAAGGGUUUGUUGUCAUGUUCCCCCCCCUGCGAAGCCAUUACCAUGAUCGAUCCGCCGAAGGCUAAGCAGUAAGAAGCUAAGUUGCCGCCAUCGUUGCCUAGUCUUGCCGUCACCGUCGUUGUUCGCCGCGACCUCCACCAUCGCGAACCGCCCUCCUGCUGUCGCCGUCCCCGUUCGAGAGAAGGUAAAAAGGGCGUCAUUAUUCAUCGUAGCCGUUUUCCGUCGUCGCCACCGUCGUCGCCAUCGCCGUUGUCACCUCCGUCGUCGCCGCCGUAGUCGCCGUCGCCGCCAAGCACCUUGGUUCCGGGUCGGGUUUCGCGAGAUUCCGAGGUGGCGGGAAGCCGGGUCGCGAGGCCGAGUCGGACUCGGGUAGGGUUUCGUGGGGAGUCGGGUCGCGGAGCGGGCUAUCGGGCCGGGUGUCCCCGAACGCCCGGCUACGAUGCCAUUUCAGUAAAUAAAUAAAAAAUAAAAAAGAAGAAAAAAUCCGAGUCGGGCUCGUCCUCGUUCGAAUCGUUGGCCCGGGUCGGACCCAACCCGCGGAUCCGACCCGAGUUAGUUUUUAUAUUAUUUUAAUAUAAAAUGAUAUUUUAAAUAAAUAAAUAAAAUAAAAUAUUUUAUUUCAAAAAAAUUCAAAAAAAAUCAAAAAAUGUUUUAUUUUCAAAAAAUAUUAAAAAAAUGUUAAAAAUGUUUUAUUUUCCAAAAAAAUCGAGAAAAAUCAAAAAGUAAUUUAUUUUACAAAAACAUUUAAAAAAUAUUUUUUCCGAAAAAUCAAAAAAUCAAAAAUAUUUCAUAUUUUCCAAAAAAUGUCAAAAAUUCAAAAAAAGCUAAAAAUUCAUGAAAAAGCCAAAAAAAUUCAGAAUAAGCCAAAAAGACUUGUAUUUUUCCAAAAAAAAACCAAAAAAAAAUCCCUUUUAUAUCCAAAAAAUUAGAAAAAGACUCAAAAAAUGUUUUUCCUCCCAAAAAUGCAUGGAAGAUCCCUCAAAAAUCCAAAAAGCCUUAGGAUUUAAAUAAGAUUAGGUACCGAAAGGGCAUUAGUGAUUAACUAGUGUAAUCAAGUCCCCGAUCCUAAUUUCUCUGGUUGCGCAGAAGUGAGUAUUUCUCCCGAUACUUCACUUGGGUUUCUAAUCAACCCACCCUAAAUCGAUUAGUGGCGGCUCCAUUUUAAAAAUUGAUUUACAGGUUAAAAAAUUGAACCAUUAAGUCGUGAAUUGGUGGACUUGGGAGAGUCCGGGCAUAACUAAUUUCAGCCGAGCCAUUAGCCUCCUUAGGCGCUCGUACCCGAUUGCGGGCACCGAAAAAAAAAGAGGUCGCGACACCAGCAAUAAUCCAUUAAAUUACUAGGUUUUUUGGCUAAUGAUUUUUCUAUAUUUAGUUUAAUAUAUUGAAAUAAUAAGACCAAAUAGAUAAUAAAUUCGGAUGUUCAAAAUUUUUACCCAUAGGGGGUUAAUUAGGAAUGCCAACUAUUUAAUAAAACAUUGAAAAUAUUAUUAUUUCAUAGUAUCUAGAGAAUGAAAGUAAAUAAAAAAAAGUCAAAGUCAUGCGAGGAUGGAGUAAAAGUAAUCAAAUCAUUAAAGAGAGAAAAAAAUCAUUUUUAUUUAUUAUAGUAAUAGGUUAUAGUGUAGAAAGAAAACGAAAAAAAUAUAAAUAAAUAAAGAAAAGAGUAAAAGCAUGCGACGACGCCUAUCUAAUGUGCCAUUGCUCCAGGAGGCCUCCACGUAGCACCCGAGUUGUCUAUUCCAACCAUCCAUCUCGCCGACACGACGGACGGGAAAAAACCCCCCGGCAGACCCCCCACGGCCGAAACGGCACAUGUUGGUGUCAGCGGGAGCGUAGGACCGGGCCCCGCCCCAGUUCACGAGGAUCGUCACCGAUGACGUGGACAUGUCGAGAAGUGGGGCAGGGUCAAAGCAACGGACGGCUUGGAUUCAGCGGGGGGUUCUUGGUCGUACGGCUCGUCGUACGCCUGGCCGUGUGAUCACAUGAAUUGGGCGUACUACGGUCAGGGGAAACGGGGGAGAGGGUGGGGCCCAUUGGGCCGGGGAAUGUAGUUAGACCAUAAUGAUGGACGGAUGAGUAUUUGGUUGAUGAAAAGGAGGAAGCGCCAUAAAUCGUGUAUUUCUCGGGGUCCUGAUUCAACGCAAUUGAUAGUGUGAAUGUGGAAAUUGAUCCACAAUGAACACAAUCAACGCCCCCGACCCAGCAUCUAGGGGAAGAAGGUUGUCAUUGGUGAUUAGGCCUUGUAAAUUGGUAUUUUCAUGAUUUGAAUAUAUUUGAUUAUCUACCUAUACAAAAGUGCUACAAUAGUCGAAGCGAAGACCAAAUGUAGUCCGACAGAGACCAACAUUAGUUUGACAUGAUAUUGCUAUGGUUGUUAUAUUUGUUGUCCGACGAUGAUAUAACGUGAAAUUAUGUCUACGACUACGCACUUCUGUAUUGAGCCGUGAUUUACGUGCUUUUUCUAGCGGUUAAAUAUAACAUAUUUGUAACUUUCAACAGUGUCGUUGAUUAGAAUUCAAGACUUUGACCAAGUCCAAGUCUCUCCCUUUCUUCACCAAAACCUGUUCAUUCCCAUUUCCAGCAGCAGGCGAAUGCCCUUGUUUCUGUAGGAAUUGGGUUACUGCCUUCAACCAGAGGAAGAGUCUUUGCUCGAUCCCUGGAUGCUGACUGGUGCUUCAGAUUCUCAAGAGCAGCUUCUUAGCUCUACUUCUUGAUGUGCAUCUUUGCCACUUGCAUGCAUCUGAAUCUUCUUUUUCAGUCCUAACUGGUAUGUUGCUUCGUCCUCAUCUUUGCCAUUUUCCAUCUAUAAGAAUCAAAUAAAGACUCUCCAACUGAACAUCUUUAUUUAACUGGAUCAAAUAUAUGCGCACUUGACAAGUAGAUCUGAUGGAUUCUAUGCGAAAUGAAGGGUUAAAUGACCUGAAUGGAGGUGGGUCGACGUAACUGCGAGAUGCAAUAAACUUCUCGAAGAGAGAACAAGAAAUAGAGAGACAGAAGGGGCGAGAAGAGAGAGGGGGGAAGAGCGACAACGGUGGGUUGCAGCCCGUCGAAAGGGUCGAGCUACGCCAGAACUCUCCAUUUCCGAAUACUAGAAAAGAUAUUUUUUAGCUCUAUUUCUCAUGAAUUUGGGAUUUUUGUUUUGAAAAUUCCUUUCCGGAUCUAUUUUGGAUUUGCUUCGCCGGCAACGAUUCGGUCAAAAUCCAACGAUAUUCUGAUUCCUCACAUCUCCUUGUAAUUCUAGAAAUAAUUUUUUUCGAGUUGAUAUCCAAGUUGUCUUUGAGUUGAUCGUCUGUUUCUUGUCUCAAAAAAAGCAAAUUUUUCUUGGGUCCGUUGAAUAUUAAUUUGCAGUUUGGCCUUCCCGCUUUAAUACUUGUGGAUGUUAUUACUUCCUUGAGAAUAAUGCUAUGCACGCUAGGAAAAUAUAAACAAGAUUGGUACUUCAUAUAAAUGGGUGCGCUCUCUUUGGCCACAGGUUGAUAAUCAAGACGACUACAUGCCACGAGUUGAAGAUACAGCCUGGAAAUUCGUGAUUAGACAGGAGGGCAAGAAAUGGCGUUGUCCUUACUGCGAGAAUGAAUACUCUGGAUCAGUCACAAGAGUGAAAAGUCACUUUCUUAAACAACCAAAAGAAGGGAUUGCCUCUUGCGCAAAAGUGCCGGAUCACGUCAGCACACUAAUGGGAUUGUUACACAAUCAGGUGGCUUUAGUACUUAUGGCAGCUACAUUAGCUGCUCGAGAAUGAUGCUAUUCGCUCUAAGAAGAUAUAAAAGAAAUGGAGACGAUAUAUAAUGGGAUGCACUCUUUUUGCUUGCAGGUUCGUAACAAAGAGGAUAUAGCCUGGAAAUUCGUCGAGAGACUGGGGGAUAACAAGUGGCGUUGUCAUCACUGCACGGAAGAAUUCUCUGGAGACCUUACAGGUGUAAAAGGUCACUUGCUUAAAGUCCCAAAUGAAGGGAUUUCCGUUUGCACGCAAGUGCCGGAACACGUAAGAACGCUAAUGCGGUCGUUACUCGAUGAGGUGGCUGAAGAAGAGAGCAGAGAGGUGGCUGAAGAGCAGAGCAGAGAAGCCCACGGUCAAUCCUCCGUGGAGCCAAAGUCACGUGACAUGCCGACUCAAGCUGGGGUGGCUGAAGAAGAGAUCAGAGGAGCCAACUGUCAACUUUCCACGGAACCAGAGUCACGUGACAUGCCGCCUCCAGCUGUUCUUUUGUCACCACAAAGCUGGGAAUUCGUGGAACACCUACUCCAAAAGCCAGAGGGGGAGACUUUAGCAACACCGUCACUGGCACAAAAUAGCCAUGGUAUGUUCACGUGAAGUUUCUAUACAUUGGUCUAGACGGGAAGAAAAAACAUCCAUUAUAUUUUUCAACGCAAACACGUCGGGUUUUUUAACCAAAGUGAUGACUUCAAAAUAUCUCCGAUGAACAUGCUUUUGUCACACGACUUUUCAAAUGUGAAGAGAGUCAAUAACCUAUUCCUUGAUAACAAUACAUCUAAUGUGUUGCACGUGUCCUCUGGAUCCACCGGAUCCGGUCAACUAACUACAAUAAGCAGUCUUCUGUGUUCCAAUCGACCAUAUCCUAACUUGAUGGACAACACACAGGUGAAAGUUCCAUGAUGGCUUCAACGGAAGAAGGACCGAAUCCUCUUAGUUUGCUAAAUCAACGACAAUGUUCCAUUCAAUCUCAAAUACAAAUGAAUGACCAGCAGAAUCCAACAGGGGCAUCAUCAUUCCAGUAUGAUCAACUACCUGCUGUAGGUAAUUCAAAUUGCUUGCAGGAUUGCAAUCGGCAUUCUCAAUUGCAAACUCCAAUGGACAUAGAUCCCUCAAUUGCAUCACAGCAUACAAUCGACUCUCGAGUUAUUGAGGCAAUAAUGGUUGAUUCACAAGUUCCAGAGGCGGCAACAAAUACAACAGGCCCAUCGUCAUCACAAGGUGUGUUUGGAUUAAUCUUCAUUGUUACUAUGGUUCCACUAGAUUCUUAAAUAUCCCCAAAUUAUUUUAUGGAAAUCUAACAUAUGUUUUUUUAUAAAUUAGAUAUAAACAGGGGUUCUCCAAUCAUGGACGUAGGUAGCAUCUAUACCAACGGUGAAGAGAUAAGAAACCUGAAAAGAAAAGUGGAAGAACUCGACGACAAAGAAGCUGUCAUAAAGGAGCAGAUGGAGAUAGAGUCUGCUGCUUCCUCAGUUCGGAAGAAGCCGAGGAUAGUGGUUGAGAGAUGGCUGAAAGAGACAGAAAGAGCAAGAAAUUUCCAAAUAAUUGGCCAAGCCCAUGCGGAAACUUUGCCACCAAAGGAACAGGUGGAGACAUUGACGAGAGA
rnacentral:lncRNA from 1 species